rnacentral:misc_RNA from 1 species
AAUCGUAUUGUCAGGGGCCGGUUUGGAAUUGCAAAUCUUUGCUCUACCAGCUGUGUCUGUCUGCAUAUACCCAUGUUUUUUGCGUACCUAUUGUUUCCUCGGCAGGCUUGCCUGCCAGUAGGACCAUACAAAACCUUUUGUAAUAGAAAUCAGCGUCAAAAUAACUUAAUAGUUA